GAUCCCCAGAGUUAAGCUAGUAACAAGCAUUUCUAGGACAUGGAUACACACGGAUGGAAAGAGAGAGGAGAGGAGCUCAGUGUGUCAAAGGACGUCCCCCGACAGUGUAAAACUAUUACAGCAUAAUUAAGAGCAGGUGCAAGGCAAACCUGAGCUAGUCCUAGAAGGGUUGGUAGAUGAAUCAGACGACUAUGAAGAUAAGGGGGGCCAAGAACAAACUGUUU